UACGAAGGGGGCUAGCGUUGUUCGGAAUUACUGGGCGUAAAGCGCGCGCAGGCGGUUUUCCAAGUCAAGUGGUGAAAGCCCGGAGCUCAACUCCGGAACUGCCAUUGAAACUGUGAAACUUGAGUACGAGAGAGGUGAGUGGAAUUCCCAGUGUAGAGGUGAAAUUCGUAGAUAUUGGGAAGAACACCGGUGGCGAAGGCGGCUCACUGGCUCGUAACUGACGCUCAGGCGCGACAGCGUGGGGAUCAAACAGG
rnacentral:rRNA from 1 species